GAUGAACGCUAGCGGCAGGCCUAAUACAUGCAAGUCGGGCGGCAAGUCGAGGAGUAAUCUGAGACCUAGAGCGGCGCACGGGUGCGUAACGCGUAUGCAACCUGCCCCUUACCGGGGGAUAGCCCGGGGAAACCCGGAUUAAUACCCCAUAGUAUGAAGAAGUGGCAUCACAUUUUCAUUAAAGAUUUAUCGGUAGGGGAUGGGCAUGCGUAGGAUUAGUUAGUUGGCGGGGUAACGGCCCACCAAGACUGUGAUCCUUAGGGGUUCUGAGAGGAAGGUCCCCCACACUGGCACUGAGAUACGGGCCAGACUCCUACGGGUGGCUG
rnacentral:rRNA from 1 species